AUUCCAGCUCCAAUAGCGUAUAUUAAAGUUGUUGCGGUUAAAAAGCUCGUAGUUGGAUUUCUGCUGAGGACGACCGGUCCGCCCUCUGGGUGAGUAUCUGGCUCGGCCUUGGCAUCUUCUUGGAGAGCGUAUCUGCACUUGACUGUGUGGUGCGGGAGACGGGUCUUUUACUUUGAAAAAAUCAGAGUGUUUCAAGCAGGCAGUCGCUCUUGCAUGGAUUAGCAUGGGAUAAUGAAAUAGGACUCUGGUGCUAUUUUGUUGGUUUCGAACACCGGAGUAAUGAUUAACAGGGACAGUCAGGGGCACUCGUAUUCCGCCGAGAGAGGUGAAAUUCUCAGACCAGCGGAAGACGAACCACUGCGAAAGCAUUUGCCAGGGAUGUUUUCAUUA
rnacentral:rRNA from 1 species